rnacentral:piRNA from 1 species
UGGUCCCAUGUCUCAAAACAUGCUUUU